rnacentral:rRNA from 1 species
UGGGGUAUAUUGGACAAUGGGCGAAAGCCUGAUCCAGCCAUGCCGCGUGUGUGAAGAAGGUCUUCGGAUUGUAAAGCACUUUAAGUUGGGAGGAAGGGCAGUAAGCGAAUACCUUGCUGUUUUGACGUUACCGACAGAAUAAGCACCGGCUAACUCUGUGCCAGCAGCCGCGGUAAUACAGAGGGUGCAAGCGUUAAUCGGAAUUACUGGGCGUAAAGCGCGCGUAGGUGGUUCGUUAAGUUGAAUGUGAAAGACCCGGGCUCAACCUGGGAACUGCAUCCAAAACUGGCGAGCUAGAGUAGGGCAGAGGGUGGUGGAAUUUCCUGUGUAGCGGUGAAAUGCGUAGAUAUAGGAAGGAACACCAGUGGCGAAGGCGACCACCUGGGCUCAUACUGACACUGAGGUGCGAAAGCGUGGGGAGCAAACAGG